UACGUAGGGUGCGAGCGUUGUCCGGAAUUACUGGGCGUAAAGAGCUCGUAGGUGGUUUGUCGCGUUGUUCGUGAAAUGCCACAGCUUAACUGUGGGCGUGCGGGCGAUACGGGCAGACUGGAGUACUGCAGGGGAGACUGGAAUUCCUGGUGUAGCGGUGGAAUGCGCAGAUAUCAGGAGGAACACCGGUGGCGAAGGCGGGUCUCUGGGCAGUAACUGACGCUGGAGGAGCGGAAAGCGUGGGGAGCGAACAGG
rnacentral:rRNA from 1 species